rnacentral:rRNA from 1 species
GAUGAACGCUGGCGGCGUGCCUAACACAUGCAAGUCGAGCGAUUCUCUUCGGAGAAGAGCGGCGGACGGGUGAGUAACGCGUGGGUAACCUGCCCUGUACACACGGAUAACAUACCGAAAGGUAUACUAAUACGAGAUAAUAUGCUUUUAUCGCAUGGUAGAAGUAUCAAAGCUUUUGCGGUACCGGAUGGAACCGCGUCUGAUUAGCUAUUUGGUAAGGUAACGGCUUACCAAGGCGACGAUCAGUAGCCGACCUGAGAGGGUGAUCGGCCACAUUGGAACUGAGACACGGUCCAAACUCCUACGGGAGGCAGCAGUGGGGAAUAUUGCACAAUGGGCGAAAGCCUGAUGCAGCAACGCCGCGUGAGCGAUGAAGGCCUUCGGGUCGUAAAGCUCUGUCCUCAAGGAAGAUAAUGACGGUACUUGAGGAGGAAGCCCCGGCUAACUACGUGCCAGCAGCCGCGGUAAUAC